AGCCAUCGGAGGAUGCUCCGGAGGAUCCUUAGCCGUUGGUAAAUGGGACGGUCUAGCCUUUGGAGCACUUCCUGGUUGCGACACGACGUCAUCACGUCUACCCCAAGACCGGGAAAAACAGCGCCAGCGCCGAUAAACGACACUAAAAAAUGGAGAUUGAAAUUUUUAUGUUAUUCUUUUUCAUUUACUUGUUCUUGGAGGAGGAGAGUCGGGUUAGACGGCUUCGACGGCAGCAAAACCGGCGAAGAAUUUUUCUCAGGCUGGGAGAGCGCAGUGGAGAGACAAGGCCGAUGUACUGCUGCAUCAACCUAAAUGUUCCCAUUUUCCAGCUUUUUUUCAACGACCAUGACACCACACCUGAUUUUCGGCUGAGCAGAGUCUCUGGCGGUGCUGCUGGAGCUUCUCUGCCAGGAAAGACGACAUGGAUGGGGGGCCACAAUAGAGACCUUGGUCUUCCUCUUCUGGCUGGCGAGUGGGGCAUCCUACAGAGUGGUGGCUAGGGUGUUCGGAAUGCCUUGCUCCACAGUUCACCGCAUCGUUCACCGGGUUACUGAGGAGGUGGUGGCCAUCCGCCACCGAGUCAUCUGCUUCCCCAAAACUCCAGAAGACCUGGCAGCAGUAACCCAGGGGUUUAAAGGGCUGGCAAGACACAGAGCUUUUCUCAAAGCUGCUGGAGCGAUCAACGGCUGCCAUGUGAGGAUCAAGCCUCCAAGCGGUCCUGAUGGUCACUGCUACCGCAACAGGAAACUACUCUCCUCCAUCAUCCUGCAGGCAGUUUGUGACCAUCAGGGCCGCUUCAUCAACACGUACGUGUGCUCCGGCACAGCCCACUGUACCGGCGGGGCAUCUACCCUCCUCCGGGCCACUUCAUCUUGGCAGAUGGUGGGUACCCGUGUCUCCAACACCCACUCCCCCUCAUCACUCCCUUCAAGCGGCCGGUAGAAGGUGUGGGAGCCCAGCGCUUUAACAGCCAUCAUUCCAGGGCAUGCUCCAUCAUAGAGCGUGCCUUUGGGAUGAUGAAGACGAGGUUUAGGGCCAUCUUCCUCCAAGCGCUGGAGGUGCACCACACCUUUGUGCCUCAGGUCAUAACGGCAUGUGCUAUCCUGCACAACAUCUGCCUGGGAGCCGGUGACAUCAUGGCCCCAGACGAUGAUAGUGCAGGACGACAUGCCAGAGGAUGAGGAGGGGGAGAAUGUGUUGGAGGCAGUCAGUGGUGCUCCCUGGCGGGACCAGCUGUCUGCCGAGGUGUCUGCCCUGGAGGAGGUUCUACCCGACCAUGAUUACAUUU